rnacentral:rRNA from 1 species
GACGAACGCUGGCGGCGUGCUUAACACAUGCAAGUCGAACGGAAAGGCCCUGCUUUUGUGGGGUGCUCGAGUGGCGAACGGGUGAGUAACACGUGAGUAACCUGCCCUUGACUUUGGGAUAACUUCAGGAAACUGGGGCUAAUACCGGAUAGGAGCUCCUGCUGCAUGGUGGGGGUUGGAAAGUUUCGGUGGUUGGGGUUGGACUCGCGGCUUAUCAGCUUGUGGGUGGGGGCGUGGCUUACCAAUGCUUUGACGGGUAGCCGGCCUGGGAGGGUGACCGGCCACAUUGGGACUGAGAUACGGCCCAGACUCCUACGGGAGGCAGCAGUGGGGAAUAUUGCACAAUGGGCGGAGGCCUGAUGCAGCAACGCCGCGUGCGGGAUGACGGCCUUCGGGUUGUAAACCGCUUUCGCCUGUGACGAAGCGUGAGUGACGGUAAUGUGUAAAGAAGCACCGGCUAACUACGUG